rnacentral:rRNA from 1 species
UGACGUUACCCACAGAAGAAGCACCGGCUAACUCCGUGCCAGCAGCCGCGGUAAUACGGAGGGUGCAAGCGUUAAUCGGAAUUACUGGGCGUAAAGCGCACGCAGGCGGUUUGUUAAGCUAGAUGUGAAAGCCCCGGGCUCAACCUGGGACGGUCAUUUAGAACUGGCAGACUAGAGUCUUGGAGAGGGGAGUGGAAUUCCAGGUGUAGCGGUGAAAUGCGUAGAUAUCUGGAGGAACAUCAGUGGCGAAGGCGACUCCCUGGCCAAAGACUGACGCUCAUGUGCGAAAGUGUGGGUAGCGAACAGGAUUAGAUACCCUGGUAGUCCACACCGUAAACGCUGUCUACUAGCUGUUUGUGCCUUUAAGGCGUGAGUAGCGAAGCUAACGCGAUAAGUAGACCGCCUGGGGAGUACGGCCGCAAGGUUAAAACUCAAAUGAAUUGACGG